rnacentral:lncRNA from 1 species
AUGCAUAAGUAAUGCAUUGCUCUAUGACAUUACAAUGACCAGGGAAUCACUAGGUGACAGGAGGUUUUCGGCUCCAUAAUCUCACUGAAUCUGGUACAACAAAAAUUCCAUACCCUGGGUGACUUAAACAACACUUACUAUUCUCAGUUUUGGAGUUUAGAAGUCCAAGAUCAAUGCUGGCAGACCAGGUGUCUGGUGAGGGCGCUCUUACCGGUUCAUAGAUGGCAUCUUUUUAAUUGUGUUCCUGUGAAAGAGAAAGAGGAAACUGCUGCUCCCUUUGCCAAGUGUGGAUCACAACACUCGUGCUUUCUAACCCUGGUGUGCUGUACUACCUCUGUGGCUUUUUCUGCCCUUCACACCAUGAUAAAUGAUCCCAUCAGCAAAACCCCCUCAACAAAUCCUACUUUGAGUGAGUGAUGCUACUACAGCUUGAAGGAAUACAACUAAUGAUGAUGCCAUGAUGAGUGGCCACCUCUGUGUCAUCCAGCUCUUGAAAAUCAACAUCAUGAGUGUUGUCUAGUCCAGCUGCUCACCUGAAAAUAGAGAAAAGGAUGCUGUGGAUGAAAACUUCUCUUUCUUCAUAUUUGCAUGUUAAGUAUGUCCUAAUUCCGCUCUGUAAGACUAACCAACUCUUCCUAUCCCAGAAAUGUGUUCAUUUCUGCACAAAUUCACUUAGCUAUUGAAAAUUCCAGAAAACAACAUUCAAGGGAGGAUUUUGCUAAAUAGGAAGGUCCCUGUGGGAAACCCCAGAGCUCAGAGACAAUCUUGGCCUCACCGCAUCUGGGGCUAUACGUCAGGAGUGAGCAGGGCCACCUGGCACUUGGGAAUUGAAGUCUUUAGGCCUUGUGACACAUCACCUGGUGCCUCUGCCCUGGCACCAGGAUGUGACUACCUUAGCAAAGGCCACCUGUCUUUAAAUGAUGAUGCCAGUGGGGUGAGAGACAGGAGAGGGCUGGGAGAGUAAAAACAGUGCAUCAGCUCACUCUGAAAUUGAAAAGAAACCAAGUUU